CUUGGGAACUGUGUGAUCUCAGGCCAGGAUUUUUUUCUAACAAAGUUUCUCAAGUUCUAUACAGAAAUCUGGAUUUUCCUGGCUAUUCAGCCCAAAAUGAUGGCAAUUUUUUCAGACAACUGCCUGUGGAAAUUACACAAGAAAUGGUUUCAAACCUACUGAGUGAAUGGCUACUCAAGAGAAGAAUAUGACAAAUAUGCAGAGAGCCUGUAGGGAAUGGAGAGACAGAUUGAUCAGCAAAUAAAUCUGCUUCAGAAGUCAGAAAACUUAGAAA